rfam:Gossypium arboreum cultivar AKA8401 contig_42254_1, whole genome shotgun sequence.
GACAGUUUGGCCGAGUGGUCUCAGGCGCCACAUUUAGGCUCUGGUCCGAAAGGGCGUGGGUUCAAAUCCCACAGCUGUCA